GGUAUUGUUAGGUUAAUUUUGUGGGACAUUAACAACACCAUAAGCAGCAACAUCAACCUUAGCUAAUGAAUCCGGGUGAGUUAAGUCAUCUAUUU
rnacentral:pre_miRNA from 1 species